CCUACGGGCGGCAGCAGUGAGGAAUAUUGGUCAAUGGGAGAGAUCCUGAACCAGCCAAGCCGCGUGAGGGAAGACGGCCCUAUGGGUUGUAAACCUCUUUUGUCGGAGAACAAAACCCGGGACGUGUCCCGGACUGCGUGUAUCCGAAGAAAAAGCAUCGGCUAACUCCGUGCCAGCAGCCGCGGUAAUACGGAGGAUGCGAGCGUUAUCCGGAUUUAUUGGGUUUAAAGGGUGCGUAGGCGGUCCGUUAAGUCAGCGGGAAAAUUGCGGGGCGCAACCCCGUCGAGCCGUUGAAACUGGGAGACUUGAGUUGGCGAGAAGUACGCGGAAUGCGCGGUGUAGCGGUGAAAUGCAGAGAUAUCGCGCAGAACUCCGAGUGCGAAGGCAGCGUACCGGCGCCAGACUGACGCUGAGGCACGAAAGCGUGGGGAUCGAACAGGAUUAGAUACCCUGGUAGUC
rnacentral:rRNA from 1 species